UUACCGUGGCAGUGACGGUUAACGGGGAAUUAGGGUUCAAUUCCGGAGAGGGAGCCUGAGAAACGGCUACCACAUCUAAGGAAGGCAGCAGGCGCGCAAAUUACCCAAUUCUAACAGCAUAAGAGAGGUAGUGACAAGAAAUAACAAUACAAGGCAGUUAAAAUGCUUU
rnacentral:rRNA from 1 species